UAUUGCACAAUGGGGGGAACCCUGAUGCAGCGACGCCGCGUGGGUGAAGGAGCGUUUCGGCGCGUAAAGCCCUAUCGGCAGGGAAGAAGGAGGACGGUACCUGACUACGAAGCCCCGGCUAACUACGUGCCAGCAGCCGCGGUAAUACGUAGGGGGCAAGCGUUAUCCGGAUUUACUGGGUGUAAAGGGGGCGCAGACGGCAGCGCAAGCCAGGAGUGAAAGCCCGGGGCCCAACCCCGGGACUGCUCUGGAAACUGCCUGGCUGGAGUACAGGAGAGGUAAGUGGAAUUCCUAGUGUAGCGGUGAAAUGCGUAGAUAUUAGGAGGAACACCAGUGGCGAAGGCGGCUUACUGGACUGUAACUGACGUUGAGGCUCGAAAGCGUGGGGAGCAAACAGG
rnacentral:rRNA from 1 species